CCAGGUGGCUGCAUUGCUGUGCCCUGGACUGGAAGUCUGAGAGCAGGUGCAGGUGCAGCCCGGAUGCCGGUGAGAGCCUCCUCUGGCCCUCUCCAACCAGUCCUCGCGGGGCAGAGGGAUCCCGGAGGAGCCUCCAGGUCAGAGACUCGCCCAGACUUCCUUCACUGGUGAGCGCAGGACCCAGGACCCAGACCCAGGCCCAUGGUGCAGUGUCGUGGUGCACGUGGCCGUCAGGAGGGGCGGGGCCACGCUGCAGGCCCAGACCUGGUUGAUGGAGGCUGCCGUCUCUGAUUUUGCCGGAGCCCUGGAGUCUCUGGGUCCCUCUGGAUGCUCCAGCCCACAAAUGACUGUCUUCAUUUCUGCUCACACGCGUUGUCCAGGACCAGGCAAGUAUGGCCCUGACGGAGGAGCGGAGAUACGGAGAGGCCUUUGUGCUCCCCUGGGAAUGAGUGGGUGCAGUGUGAUUGCAACGAGAACCCCCAUGGGAGCCUGGAGGCUGCUGAUGGCCCCAGAAGGAAGGAUGCACACCUGAACCUAGCUCGGCGUCGGGGCACUGGGGUCUGCAGGUCCCAACAGCAGGCUCACAGGUGUGAAAGUGUACCAUCUUCCCCCCCACCUCGGUUCCGGCCCCCCACACCUCCAUGUCAUCUCCUUGGCUGAAUGUCUCUGGGGUUGGCUGCCGCGGCCAAGCCCUGCUGCUGGCACAGGCCCGUUCUGGGUGAGACUGAUGGCUCCUGGACACACGCAGACGGCACGGGAAGAAAUCUGUCCUCGUUGCCUGAGCCUCGGGCCGCUGUGGAGGGGGCAGUUUUUCACAGGAGUGUUAACUCUGAGUCGUUCUGGGGCUCCCGAGCACAGCUAAGCAGACAGGCUCUCCGAGAUGAAAA